UUCUUUUCUUCCAAACUUUUCUUCUACUUCUAAGAAUAUUAGGGAGGUUAAGUAAUAACAUAAGCAUUGGAGGUGCCAAGUUUUUUCUUUCUACCCAUGACUGUUAAGGCCAGUAGCCCCAAAAGGGGUCAUAACUGGCCACCAAUGGCAAUGGCAUUGGCCAUUGUUUUGAUUUCAACUAGUGUGGUUUCUGCUGCUGCAGAUAGUUAUAUUUACUCUUCUCCUCCACCACCUUACGAGUAUAAGUCGCCACCGCCACCAUCACCUUCACCACCACCUCCUUAUGUUUACAAAUCGCCACCUCCUCCAUCCCCAUCACCUCCACCACCUUAUGAGCACAAGGCUCCUGCUUAUGAGUACAAGUCACCACCACCACCAACUCCUUCACCACCACCUCCUUAUGUGUACAAGUCACCACCACCGCCAUCUCCUUCACCACCACCUCCUUAUGUGUACAAGUCACCACCACCACCCUCACCUUCCCCACCACCACCAUACUACUACAAGAGUCCUCCACCACCUUCUCCUUCACCUCCACCUCCUUACUACUACAAAUCUCCUCCACCACCCUCACCUUCCCCACCACCACCAUACUAUUACAAGUCUCCUCCACCACCAUCUCCCUCACCUCCACCACCAUAUUACUACAAGUCUCCCCCACCACCCUCACCCUCCCCUCCACCCCCAUAUAUACACAAGGAUCCACCAUACUAUUACAAGUCCCCACCACCACCUUCACCAUCUCCUCCACCACCAUACUACUACAAAUCUCCCCCACCCCCUUCACCGUCUCCUCCACCACCAUACUACUACAAAUCUCCUCCUCCUCCAUCUCCUAUUCCCAAAACACCUUACUACUACAAAUCUCCCCCACCCCCUUCACCAUCUCCUCCACCACCAUACUACUACAAAUCUCCCCCACCCCCUUCACCGUCUCCUCCACCACCAUACUACUAUAAAUCUCCCCCACCACCGUCACCCUCUCCACCACCACCUUACUAUUACAAGUCUCCUCCCCCACCUUCACCAUCUCCUCCACCACCAUACUACUACAAAUCUCCUCCUCCUCCAUCUCCUAUUCCCCAUACACCUUACUAUUACAAAUCUCCCCCACCACCUUCACCAUCUCCUCCACCACCAUACUACUACAAAUCUCCUCCUCCUCCAUCUCCUAUUCCCCGUACACCUUACUAUUACAAAUCUCCCCCACCACCUUCACCAUCUCCUCCACCACCAUACUACUACAAAUCCCCUCCUCAUCCAUCUCCCAUUCCCCAUACACCUUACUAUUACACAUCUCCCCCACCACCUUCACCGUCUCCUCCACCACCAUAUUACUACAAAUCUCCUCCCCCUCCGUCUCCUAUUCCCCACACACCUUACUACUACAAGUCCCCACCACCACCAAAGGUCCUUCCACCACCAUACUAUUACAAUUCUCCUCCUCCACCUGUUGUGUAUCCUCACCCAUAUCCCUACCACCACUCACUUAUUGUGAGGGUAGUCGGUAAAGUCUACAGCUUCAGAUGUUAUGAUUGGAAUUAUCCUGCAAAGUCUCAUAACAAGAAACAUCUCAAAGGUACAUUACAUUUCUUAGGACCGGACCUCUUUAGAGUAAUGUGUUUAGAGAUAAUGCACAAUUUUUUAUUUUUUUAUCUCGUAAAGGUUUAUUUAUUAUAAUCACAAUUUCACUUUUGUCAAAAAGAAAAACAAUUUUACUAUAUAUAGUUUUAAUCAUUAACAUUUUGAUGUAAAAAGAAUACAAUUCUCUAUUACCUUUUUACUAUGAUAUAUAUACAAAGAUUAUUCAAAUCUAUAUAUCCAACCUAAUUUCCAUCCAAAAAAAUAGAAAACAUAGGGUGCUUUGAACGCCUGCAGCAUCACAUGAAUAAAUAAAAACAAUCAAUAAUCAACCUUGUUCUAAUUUAUUUUAGACAGCGAUUGUUAAGCAUACUGCUCUUUUAAUUACAUUUUUUUUAAAGAUGCUCUUUUAAUUAUAUUGUCCUAAUAUAAUAUGUGUCUUUAUAUAUUACUUGUCGUAAACUAAUUUUAUUAUGGGUGCAGGAGCUGUUGUUGAGGUGACAUGCAAAGCCGGGAGCAAAAUUGUCAAGGCUUAUGGAAAAACUAAGAACAAUGGAAAGUAUGCCAUCACAGUUAAGGACUUUGACUAUGUCAAAUAUGGUUCGACAGUGUGCAAGGCUGCCCUAUAUGCUCCACCUAAGGGUUCACCCUUCAACAUACCUACAAAGCUAAAUCAAGGAACAAAGUUGUACUUGAAAUCCAAAGACAAGUACGAGGUUGUGCUCAAGGCUAAGCCAUUUGCUUAUGCUUCAAAGAAACAUUUCAAAGAAUGUGAGAAGCCUAAGCCUUCACCAACUCCUUACUACUACAAAUCACCUCCACCUCCCUCACCAGUUUACAAAUACAACUCACCACCUCCACCGGUCCAUUAUUAUUCACCUCCAUACACCUACAAGUCACCUCCUCCCCCUGUGAAAGCGGCACCAACUCCUUACUACUACAAAUCACCUCCACCACCCGCACCGGUUUACAAGUACAACUCACCCCCUCCACCGGUCCAUUAUUAUUCACCACCAUAUACCUAUAAGUCACCUCCUCCCCCUGUGAAAGCGGCACCAACUCCUUACUACUACAAAUCACCUCCACCUCCCGCACCGGUUUACAAGUACAACUCCCCACCUCCACCGGUCCAUUAUUAUUCACCUCCAUAUACCUACAAGUCACCUCCUCCCCCUGUGAAAGUGGCACCAACUCCUUACUACUACAAAUCACCUCCACCACCCGCACCGGUUUACAAGUACAACUCACCACCUCCACCGGUCCAUUAUUAUUCUCCACCAUACUACUACAAGUCACCACCCCCACCAUCUCCAUCACCUCCUCCACCAUACUAUUUCAAAUACUAUUACAAGUCCCCACCUCCACCAUCACCAUCCCCUCCUCCACCUUAUUAUUACAAAUCUCCUCCUCCACCAAAACAAAUUUCACACCCUCCAUACUACUAUAAGUCACCACCCCCACCAUCACCAUCACCUCCUCCACCAUACUAUUAUAAGUCUCCACCUCCACCAUCACCAUCUCCCCCACCACCUUAUUAUUAUAAGUCACCACCCCCACCAUCCCCGUCCCCUCCUCCACCAUACUACUACAAGUCUCCACCUCCACCUAAAGAAAUAUCACAUCCUCCAUAUAACUAUAAGUCACCACCCCCACCAUCACCAUCCCCUCCCCCUCCAUACUAUUACAAAUCUCCUCCACCACCAUCACCAUCACCACCACCUCCCUACUAUUACAAAUCACCUCCACCACCAUCACCAUCACCUCCCCCUCCAUACUAUUACAAAUCUCCUCCACCACCAUCACCAUCACCACCACCUCCUUACUAUUACAAAUCACCUCCACCACCAUCCCCAUCACCACCACCUCCAUACUACUACAAAAGUCCCCCUCCACCAUCUCCAUCUCCUCCAUCCCCAUAUUACUACAAAUCUCCACCACCACCAUCACCAUCCCCACCCCCUCCCUACUAUUACAAAUCACCUCCACCUCCCUCACCAUCACCGCCACCUCCUUACUAUUACAAAUCACCUCCACCUCCCUCACCAUCACCGCCACCUCCUUACUAUUACAAAUCUCCCCCACCUCCAUCUCCAUCUCCACCACCUCCUUACCACUAUCAAAGUCCUCCUCCACCAUCUCCCAUUUCUCAUCCUCCCUACUACUACAAAUCCCCUCCACCACCAUCGCCGUCUCCUCCACCUCCUUACCACUAUGUGAGUCCUCCCCCACCAGUAAAGUCACCUCCACCACCAACUUAUAUCUAUGCUUCACCACCACCACCUCACUACAACUAAGCUCAAAGAGCAGAAGCUCCGUUCAUUAUAAAUCAUGUAAGUUUAUCAUCUUCAAUUUUCUGAAUGUGUGCGUGUGUAUUUGUUUUUUUGUUACAAGAUACUAACAAAAUUCUUUUCUUAUUUAUGUUCAGGUUUUAGUUUUCAUCUAGGAAUAAAGGCAAGCUCCAUUUGGAGUAAAGUGAAACUUCUAGCUUCGUGUCCGAAUUCGUUAAAUAAAUGUCGGGAUGUAUCGUCUUUGAGCUAUAAUAUUUCUGAUCCAGACAAUAUCUAUUUUGUUUCUUUGGUGGCAAUCUUGCACUUCCUGGUCUUAGUCUAUUCAAGUGACAGACAAAUCAAAAGGGAGAAGCGAGAUUAAUUUAUUUGUGAUCUCUUUGAUUUAUUUGUGCAUAUAUCAAUAUGAACGUGUAUGAUAUUUUUCUAUUUAUUGAAGAUUUUUUUACUGUAACCUGUUAUUGUGUUUGUCAAAAGGUGUUAAUAAAGAAUCACAUUCAAUUUCUGUUAAAUUAUCAGUAUUUGUUUCUUUCUAACAACUACCAUUCAUGCAAAUGUGGCUAUUAAAAAAAGCUCCAAUGACACAUAAAAAGCUUCCAAACAAUAUAUAAACAAAGAUGCAUUGUUUUCUGUUAAGAAGGGGACAGGGUUACGGUUACUUGUGUACCAAGUUAGUUAUCCAUGCUUUCUUGUUCAUAGGAUUUAUAUGGUGUAGUUGCACUUAGUUGCUAAAUGUAUGCAAGCUUUUCCUUUCUAUAAAUAAGCACACCUACUAUCAUUCUUCUCCACAUUCCUUUCUACUCUUCUAUCAUGAAUUGUUCAUCCACAUAAGAUGGUCACAGAGCACACCUAAUACUCUGCUACUGGUGUAUCAGUUCCUUUCCACCAGAAACUUAUGAUCUCUAAUUGAAAGAGAUCCUAAAGUUUUAAGAUUUCUACAAAAUACAUUAUUCUCAUUUUUGUACAAGUAUGAUACAAUUAUUCCCAAGUAUUAUUUAUUCUAAGGAAUAGAAUUUAGUUGUGGUUUCUCUAUUUAACCAACAUUUAUUUUUAAAUAACUAAAUUUAAAAAAAAAAUCCUGAAAUUAUUAAGUACAUACCUAACACAUUGUAAAAUUUUGUUCCCAAAGAAAAUAUUUUUGGCAAUAGAAUUUUCAGGAACUUCAUUCCUAGGAAUAUAAUUCUAUACUAAGAGAAGAGCUUAAGCAUUGAUACAUAACAAGACCAAUCCAUAUCCUAAUCACAAUCCUACUUUCACUAAAUACUUUCACUUAAGUGUGGUCUUGGAAAGGACAAAUGAAGAAAGACAUUCCAGAGGUAUGGUAAGGGACAAUAUCUGCAGUUAUGCACAUAUUGCAAGAUUGUGAGGAACUACCGGACUGAUUUGAUUCACCAAAAAAUUUGGAAUAAAUAUUUCAGCCCAGAACUCAGACAAUGACUGGAUUGGAACCUUUCAGCUUCUAAUAUCGGUACUGUCCAAGGAAAUAGUCAUUCUCUUUUUGGAGUAGCUGUGAAGGAUUUAUGGAAAGAUAGAACUAAGCUGGUCUUUUCUAGAAACACCGCGAUUGGAACUACUCUAUUUUGGCUUGUAGCCAAUCCGGCUAAGUUUAUUAACAAUGUAGUUUGUACUCAAGCUCACAGUCACGAUGUUGUCAGCAACAGUGGGCAUAUUGUUUAGGUAGCCUGGAAUUUUCCUCCCCAACACUUCUUCAAAGUGAAUAUGAUGGAUCUCUACGGGAUUAUGUUAGUUUCCAGGAUCGAACUCAGAACCUCCUGAUUAUAACUCCUUCAAUGUAUGUCCCUUACCCACGUGGGGCCUCGGCUGUAAUUGUUAACAUGGUAAAAUUUGGCUCUUCCAAUAAUGGUUUUAUCCAAACUCGAGGUUGUUUAUCGUCUCCAACAAUCAGAUUGGAGAAUACUAGUGGUUCAUGCAUUUGAACAAACCAACUGUUGUGCAGAUUUUCUAGUUGAUUUUGUUUUUCCUUUUUUGAGUAUUUUAUUAGCCAAUGAUAUAAGAGGUUGUAGCCUACCUCUUUUGAUUUCUUAAGACAAUCACUUUUGCAUUAGAAAAAAACGACCCUACAUAAAAUUAAUGAUUGAAUUAAGAUAUAACUUCAGUUUGAAAUAUUGUAAAAUUCUAUACCACCAAAAACUGAGAAUUUUAGAACCAUACAGGUUGGUGGAGUGGUCAUCCAGAUAACUUUAACAUAAUUAACAGUCCAAAAAGUAAAUAGCUUUAUCCUUUAUUUUCAAUCUGAUGUGAUUUACUCUUAUCUGUUAAACAUUAUAAUUAAGAAUCCAAAGGGAACACUCACCUAAUCUCUCUCUUUUUUCUAGCUUUUUCACUAAACCACUGUGUCUGUGGUUACCACAUUUCCUUAUGGAAUCAAUAUCCAAUUUAUGUUAAAAACCAUUUCUACAUUUUGUGUUAAAAAUGAUCUAAACAAAGAUGAUUUAUUUCUCUUAAAUUCAACAUAGAUCAUAUUUACAUGGUUCAAACUUUCUAUUACACGGCAUUGACUUAGUUGCUUCACAUGGGGACACAACUAAUGCAUAUAUUAUUUUAUAUGCUUAUAGUAAUUUUAACAAGUGGCAAUGGGGCAUAUGUUUUGUCAAAAAAACACAAAAAACAGGAGGCAUGUGCAACUGAAGUCACUGCCAGCUUGGCACUAAGAUAUAGUAAAAUAAUUGACAUUUGAAGAAAACAAAGACGUUGCUACAUUUCUAUUCAAACAAGCGACAUCAAUAUCAGACAAUGGUGCUACAUUUAAUAAUACUACAGCUAUCCCCAUAAGCACCUCUUAGAAAGAAAAAAAAAUAUCCAUUAAAUUAAUGUUGGAAGAGUUAGCAACAUGUCCUCUCCCAAAAAAACUCAUGUUUGAUUCCUAGAGUCGUCCAUUUCGAAAGAAGCUCAACCCUGAUAAUAAAAACCUAGAUGUUAUGCUGCAGACUUAAAGAUCAAUUUCAUAAUGGAUCCAAAGGGCCUAAGCUGUGUGGGAUACUUAAGGGGGUAUAUUGAGGCUAAGGGUCAAAGAUCUUAAUUAUGGUCGGUUAAAAAAAGAAGAAAAAAAAAUUAUCUCUAAAUAUAAAGUCAACAAUAUUUCAAAUUGCAAGAUACAUUUAUUUAUUUUUUAAAUAUGUAUAUACCUCUUAUUAAUACUUACUAAUUUGUUUUGAGUGAUAAAAAGUUACGAGUUAGACAGAUCAGCACAUAAAAAAAGUAUUUGAAAAACAUCUACCAACAAAAUAAACACAUUAAAAACAAUACUACUUUUUUACAAUACUGUAUGUGAAAAUGACAAAAUCUUGAAAAAGAUGGAGGUAACAUGUACUCUUUUUUUUUUAGAGGGGAGCAUGUACUUUUCCACUAACAAUGUUGAUAAGAAACAUAUAAAAUACUAUUAGAGAAAGAAAAAAAAUAAUAAAUAAAGAAAUAUAUAAAAUACUGAGGAAUGACUCACUCAUGUCAAAUUUUAGCAAGGGAGAAGUGAUAUCACAUCAUUUUAGAAGAGGAAUGAGAAUAGAUAGAUCUAAUUUUUCUAGUAAGUUUGAAUAGUAGAAUCAUACUUCUUUGUCUUUUGUGAAAAUUUCAUAUUAUGGGAUCUAUUACUAGAAUACAGGUGAUUUUAUUCUGGAAGAUUGACUUUUUAUUAAAAUAAAAUAAAAGUACAUUUUUUAUUUCCAAAUGCUUAGUUGUUCAUUUAUAAAUAUUACAUUAUCCAACAGCACCAAACCCUAUUUCAUAACGGUACUCUGCACGUUUCAUUCAUUUACUGGUGCCUUAGUUUUUUGUUACAAACAGACAUUGAUCAGAGGAACAAAUGUAGAGACAAAUUGAAGAUAAUAUAUCACAUAAUAUUGUAGACACACCUUCACAUACAAAUGGGGUAAAGUCCCUCAUAGUAGUAUUAGAAAUAACACUUAGAGUAAAAUUUUGCUAAAUUUAACAUGAAAAUAAGUGUAAUGUAUUUUAUAGGCAGCUAUACAUAAUUAUUAAUUAGAACAAUUUUUUACACUGUCAAACAAAAAUUGAACAAUUUUUUACUAGCUUUAUGCUUUAUGAUGUUUUGAUUCCAUGUGCACAUUUCAAUUUUAGAACUAUUCCUUUCUAUGUUACUGAAAUAAUUCUAUCAUUAGGCAUUGACAUUUCCAUUAUGCGUGCACGUUAAAGUGUUUUCCCAAACAGAGAAAUAUUAAGAAAGGUUAAACUUUUGACUUAAAGACACAACUAAAAUAAGAUCCAAGGAAAACCCCAUUGAUUAUUUCUUGCACAAAAUUAAAAACCCCAUUGAUUAUUUCUUGCACAAAAUUAAAAUGCUAAUAAUUUUUCCUGGUCUAUAUUUUUCUCCUUCCGGGAAAUGGCAACAUCACAUGUUCAUCUCAUAAUUGAGAAAACACAUGUCUGGGAAAAUAUCUUAAAGAAAAGGCAGUAAAGUAAUAAAAAGUGCACCAAAUAGAGAUUAACUAGUACUCUUUGCAUGUCAACUAAGUGGUAUAAUUAUGUAUAUCACAUUCUUAAUAUUGAUUAUCUUGAUUGCACGAUAAGCCCCUCAAAUUGCUCAAUCGAUGAUUGCUUGAUAAGCCCAUCAAAUUGCCCAAUCGAUCGAAUCGUAACUUUCGAUAGACAUUUUUUUUAAGAAAACCCAAUUGGAUCAUAACUCCCCAUAGUCAUUUAUUUGAAAUUGUGAGCAAUUUGAUAACUUAUUGAGCAAUCACCAUUGAUUUUAGUCUCAAUUUAUCCUAAUGUUGUAACCCUGGAAUAAUGGAACAGUGAGUAAAUUUGGUUUCUCCGUCUCAAAAUAAGUGUCACAAUUUAACCAUGUGCACUACUCAUCAAAUCUACUUUGACAACAUUUUUUUUACUAAUAUAUAAAGACAAUGUUAGUACAUUACAUGUUCGAUUUGUCUUAGUUAAUGUUUUUAAAAUAUCGACUUUAUUAUAAUUUUUCUUAAUAGACAAUCAAAAAUAUCAAUUGUCAAAAUUGUGUAUUGAUAUGUAUGAAAAUCAAACUAUAACACUUACUUUGAGACGAAGAGAAUAACUAUUAAAAACUAAUGUUCAAAUAGAAAGAAAAGAAAACAAAGAUUCCAUACAAAGCUUGCAAAAUAGCUACAAUCAUAACCUAGAACAAAAAUCAUGACCACACACUAUAUCCAUUUUCCUUUUCCUAAAAAGCAAUUGAAGAUAAAAAAAAAAAAAAUAAUAAAUAAAAAAAAAAAAAAAAAAAAAAAAAANACCACCAUACUACUACAAAUCCCCACCUCCACCAUCGCCUUCUCCUCCACCACCAUACUACUACAAAUCCCCACCUCCACCAUCGCCUUCUCCUCCACCACCAUACUACUACAAAUCCCCACCUCCACCAUCGCCUUCUCCUCCACCACCAUACUACUACAAAUCCCCACCUCCACCAUCGCCUUCUCCUCCACCACCAUACUACUACAAAUCCCCACCUCCACCAUCGCCUUCUCCUCCACCACCAUACUACUACAAAUCCCCACCUCCACCAUCGCCUUCUCCUCCACCACCAUACUACUACAAAUCCCCACCUCCACCAUCGCCUUCUCCUCCACCACCAUACUACUACAAAUCCCCACCUCCACCAUCGCCUUCUCCUCCACCACCAUACUACUACAAAUCCCCACCUCCACCAUCGCCUUCUCCUCCACCACCAUACUACUACAAAUCCCCACCUCCACCAUCGCCUUCUCCUCCACCACCAUACUACUACAAAUCCCCACCUCCACCAUCGCCUUCUCCUCCACCACCAUACUACUACAAAUCCCCACCUCCACCAUCGCCUUCUCCUCCACCACCAUACUACUACAAAUCCCCACCUCCACCAUCGCCUUCUCCUCCACCACCAUACUACUACAAAUCCCCACCUCCACCAUCGCCUUCUCCUCCACCACCAUACUACUACAAAUCCCCACCUCCACCAUCGCCUUCUCCUCCACCACCAUACUACUACAAAUCCCCACCUCCACCAUCGCCUUCUCCUCCACCACCAUACUACUACAAAUCCCCACCUCCACCAUCGCCUUCUCCUCCACCACCAUACUACUACAAAUCCCCACCUCCACCAUCGCCUUCUCCUCCACCACCAUACUACUACAAAUCCCCACCUCCACCAUCGCCUUCUCCUCCACCACCAUACUACUACAAAUCCCCACCUCCACCAUCGCCUUCUCCUCCACCACCAUACUACUACAAAUCCCCACCUCCACCAUCGCCUUCUCCUCCACCACCAUACUACUACAAAUCCCCACCUCCACCAUCGCCUUCUCCUCCACCACCAUACUACUACAAAUCCCCACCUCCACCAUCGCCUUCUCCUCCACCACCAUACUACUACAAAUCCCCACCUCCACCAUCGCCUUCUCCUCCACCACCAUACUACUACAAAUCCCCACCUCCACCAUCGCCUUCUCCUCCACCACCAUACUACUACAAAUCCCCACCUCCACCAUCGCCUUCUCCUCCACCACCAUACUACUACAAAUCCCCACCUCCACCAUCGCCUUCUCCUCCACCACCAUACUACUACAAAUCCCCACCUCCACCAUCGCCUUCUCCUCCACCACCAUACUACUACAAAUCCCCACCUCCACCAUCGCCUUCUCCUCCCCCACCUUACUAUUACAAAUCCCCACCGCCACCUUCACCAUCUCCCCCACCACCCUACUACUAUAAAUCACCCCCACCACCUUCACCAUCUCCUCCACCACCAUACUACUACAAAUCACCCCCACCGCCAUAUGAACACAAGACUAAACCAUACUAUUACAAGUCUCCUCCACCACCAUAUGAACACAAGACUAAACCAUACUAUUACAAGUCCCCACCACCACCUUCACCAUCUCCUCCACCACCAUACUAUUACAAGUCCCCACCACCACCUUCACCGUCUCCACCCCCACCAUACUACUACAAAUCACCUCCUCCUCCAUCACCUAUUCCCCAUACACCUUACUACUACAAGUCCCCACCACCACCUAAGGUUCUUCCACCACCAUACUAUUACAACUCUCCUCCUCCACCUGUUGUGUAUCAUCACCCUCAUCCCUACCACCAUGCAUUGAUCGUGAAGGUAGUGGGUAACGUCUACAGCUUCAGAUGUUAUGACUGGGAGUAUCCUGAAAAGUCUCAUAACAAGAAACACCUCAAAGGUACAUCACAUUACAUUUCUCAAUUCUUUCAUUUUUAUAGAUUUUAUGUACAUCACUAUUGGCUCGUAGUUUCUCAAUACCAUUACAACUAAACUGCAAGUUUCAGUAAUGAGAUUCAUAUAGACAUGUUUUUAUUAACAUCUUUGUUUCUUAGAAAUUAUACAAACACUUAAUUUAGGUUUCUCCAUGUCCAAUAAAGUAAACAAUUGAUAUAUCAAAUUAACAUAUAUGAUAUAUCAUUUACCUCAUUAAAAUUUAAUAAUCCUGCCUAAUAUAAAGAUUCGGUUUGAAAAUGAUAGUUUAGUGAGCUUCUUUAUAAUAACACUCUCCAAUAUAUUAUGUUUUAAAAACAAUUAUAUUUCUAUUUGUCUAAAUUCAAAUUUGUUAUGGGACAGGUGCUGUUGUUGAAGUGACAUGCAAAGCCGGGAGCAAAAUCAUCAAGGCUUACGGUAAAACUAAGAUCAAUGGAAAGUAUGCCAUCACAGUUAAGGACUUUGACUAUGUCAAAUAUGGUUCAACAGUGUGCAAGGCUGCCCUUUAUGCUCCACCUAAGGGUUCACCCUUCAACAUACCUACAAAGCUAAACCAAGGAACAAACUUGUACUUGAAAUCCAAAGACAAGUACGAGGUUGUGCUCAAGGCUAAGCCAUUUGCUUAUGCUUCAAAGAAACAUUUCAAAGAAUGUGAGAAGUCCAAGCCUUCACCAACUCCUUACUACUACAAAUCACCUCCACCUCCCUCACCAGUUUACAAGUAUAACUCACCACCUCCACCCGUCCAUUAUUACUCACCUCCAUAUUACUACAAGUCACCUCCUCCCCCCGUGAAAGCGGCACCAACUCCUUACUACUACAAAUCACCUCCACCUCCCGCACCAGUUUACAAGUACAACUCCCCACCUCCGCCAGUCCAUUACUAUUCACCUCCAUACACCUAUAAGUCACCUCCUCCUCCUGUGAAAGCAGCACCAACUCCUUACUACUACAAAUCACCUCCACCUCCCGCACCGGUUUACAAGUACAACUCACCACCUCCACCGGUCCAUUAUUAUUCUCCACCAUACUACUACAAGUCACCACCCCCACCAUCUCCAUCACCUCCUCCACCAUACUAUUUCAAAUACUAUUACAAGUCCCCACCUCCACCAUCACCAUCCCCUCCUCCACCUUAUUAUUACAAAUCUCCUCCUCCACCAAAACAAAUUUCACACCCUCCAUACUACUAUAAGUCACCACCCCCACCAUCACCAUCACCUCCUCCACCAUACUAUUAUAAGUCUCCACCUCCACCAUCACCAUCUCCCCCACCACCUUAUUAUUAUAAGUCACCACCCCCACCAUCCCCGUCCCCUCCUCCACCAUACUACUACAAGUCUCCACCUCCACCUAAAGAAAUAUCACAUCCUCCAUAUAACUAUAAGUCACCACCCCCACCAUCACCAUCCCCUCCCCCUCCAUACUAUUACAAAUCUCCUCCACCACCAUCACCAUCACCACCACCUCCCUACUAUUACAAAUCACCUCCACCACCAUCACCAUCACCUCCCCCUCCAUACUAUUACAAAUCUCCUCCACCACCAUCACCAUCACCACCACCUCCUUACUAUUACAAAUCACCUCCACCACCAUCCCCAUCACCACCACCUCCAUACUACUACAAAAGUCCCCCUCCACCAUCUCCAUCUCCUCCAUCCCCAUAUUACUACAAAUCUCCACCACCACCAUCACCAUCCCCACCCCCUCCCUACUAUUACAAAUCACCUCCACCUCCCUCACCAUCACCGCCACCUCCUUACUAUUACAAAUCUCCCCCACCUCCAUCUCCAUCUCCACCACCUCCUUAUCACUAUCAAAGUCCUCCUCCCCCAUCUCCCAUUUCUCAUCCUCCCAACUACUACAAAUCCCCUCCACCACCAUCGCCAUCUCCUCCACCUCCAUACCAUUACGUGAGUCCUCCCCCACCAGUAAAGUCACCUCCACCACCAGCUUACAUCUAUGCUUCUCCACCACCACCAAUCUACAACUAGCCUCACAACACCAAAUCACCAUUGGUGAUAAAUUAUGUAAGUUUACCAUUAUUGCAAUCAUAACACUUGCAUCUUUUCCCACCCAUACACACACAUAUCACAUGUUUAAAUUUUAUGUACUAAUCAACAAAAACUCUUAUUUGUUUUCAGGUUCUAGUUUUCAUCAAGGAAUAAAGUCGUCCAUUUGGAGCAAAGUGAAACAACUAGCUCUCUGUCCAAAUUAUUUGAUGGCCAUCUUGCACUUCCUAAUCUUAUUGUGUUCAAGUGACUGGCUAAUCAAAAUGUGGAAGCGAGAUUAAUUUAUUUAUUAUCUCUUUGAUUUAUAUGUGCAUAGAUUGAUAUUUCCCUGUAUGAUAACUUUAUUUUUAUUGAGGAUUUUUUGUAUUGUACCCUGUUGUGUUUGUUAAAAUAAGUAUUAUCAAUGAAGAAUUACCUUCAAUUUCUUUCCACCUAAUUAGUUCUUGUUUCUUUUAAACAACUAUCAAGCAUGUCAGCAAGGCAAAGCAUACCACUACCACCAUAUCACCAUAAAAUGCAUCAUUAUUCAUUGCAUAUGAGAUAAAUAUAUGCAAACUAUAUCUAAUUAUUAAGAGGGGGAAAAAACUAAUGUACAGAAAAUGUACCUCAAGGCUUCAGGAUAGGUGUUAGAAACCCAAGCUUUUAAUAGCUCUCUCCAAGAAUCCUCGUUUCUACAACUUAAGUUCCUAUAUUAAUCAAUUAUAAUAUAUGAGAAACUUAUGUUGUCGACCAACAAUACAGGUGACUCAAAAAAAUAUUAUAUUUUAAAAGUCAAACCUUGAGCUAUACACAUGUAAGCAUCAUCAAUAUAAGUUUCACCAUUGUUCAUGUGUAUUAUUCCAUAAAUUUUGGCUCAGUUGAGGUUACUACACUGGUUUUCUUCCUAUUGUAUCAUAUAUUUAAAUACUAUGGUGCGUUUGGAUAAACAGCUUAUGUCACAAGCACUUAUCAUGAUAAGCGCUUUUGUAUAAACUUGCAUGAGUUAUUUUCAUAUCAAAAGAUAAACAAGAACAUUAAAUUGUUUUUGUAUAUUACUUAAGUUGUUUUCAUAAGCUAUGUUGAAGAACUAAUGAAAAUUAGCUGAAAAAAGCUUAUGCUGUUUUCAUGAAUUCUCCCUAACAGUCUCACAAUAUUUAUGUCAGUAUAUAAUCAAAUAAGUCAAUCCAAACAGGCCCCACGUCUUCUAUAUUAGACCAUAUGACAAUUUCUUUUCGGUUUAUUCUCAUUAAAAGUUAAAAAUGGUGUAUUUGAAUCCUAUAAUUCUUUGUCAUACAAGUGCAUUCAAAUACAAUUUGAAGCCAUGGUGAAAGUGUUUAAUUUGCAGAGCUCACCAACAUAAUCUAACGUAUAUUUGGAUUGACUUAUUUGAACUUAUCUACUAGCACAAAUACUUGUGAGAUUGUUUACGAAAGUUUAUGGAAAAAACUUACAACACACACAUAAGUUGUUUUCAGCUUAUUUCCAUAAACUCUUCAAAAUAGCUUAUGAAACAACUUAUAUGAUAAGAGCUUAUUCUAUAAGCGCUUAAUUAAGUUUUAAUCCAUUCUUCUUCUACCUUCAUCUUCAGUUAACAAAACGAAUACAAUUUCUGAAAAUUCAAAGUUCAAACACCAAAAAAUACCUAAAAUGAAAAAUUGUUGAAUGAAAGCGCAAAUAGAACCUGGCAAUGCGUUCGAGAAGCACGUGGAGGAGGUGGCGUGGCAGAAGAAUGUGUGGAUUUCAUCGGAGAAUUUCAGUUCUGCUCGCGCCAUUUAAGAAAUUUUGUAAACUUAAAGUUUAGUUUAAGUUUACCCCUCUUUUUUUUUCAUUUUAAAGGAGUUUACCCUACAAAUUUUUGUAUGUUUUUGCCACGUUUACAAAUGAUUUAAUAUGUUUUUAUCCUAUAUAUAUUUAGGGAUGUAAAUGGAUAUUAUGAUGCGGAUAGUGUAAUAUUUGUGUCUGUUCCAUUGGAUAAAUAUGAAAUCUGUACCAUAUUCAUAUCGUACGGAUAUCUGUUUAGCGGGUAAUCCACAGAUUUUGAGAUAUUUGAGUGUUUAUAGAUAUAUUCAUUGAUAACAUUUAUAAAAAUAAAAUAAAAAAUUUGUUUAAUUCUUUUUAGAGACAAAGGUUCUUCAUAUGCAUUUUCUUUUCUUUUUAACAAAACAUAAUAUUCAUACAUUAUAAUAACAACAAAGAUCAUUGACUCAACAAAAACAUAAAUAAAGUUGCUUACAUUUAAUAAAAAUAAAGUUAUUUGAUUUAACAAAAACAAAGCUCUUGCAUCAACAAUCCCAACCACUUUCACUUCCUUUUAAAAGAGUGUAAUAACAAAUAACACUCACAAUACAUAAGGUUUUUUUUUAGGAAGUUGAAUGAUAUUAAGGUUAUUUAUGUAAUUUACUCGGUUUAAUAGUCGGUAUGGAUAUCCACGGGUGUGGAUACCGUUAAAUCCGCAUCCAUAUCCAUUAAUUAGCAGGUAGUUAAAAAAUUCAUUUAUUUUAUCCAUUGAUAUCCAUUAAGGUAUCCGCUCCGUGCCCGUGACGGAUUAUAUCCGCGGAUAUUCACGGGUGCGAAUUUUUUUGUCAUCCCUAUAUAUAUAUAUUAGUCUUAAACUUGACUAUUUUUUAUUAUCAUUUGGUGCUAUAAUUAAAAAAAAAAAAAAAAUAUUGUUCGUCUGAGCCAUUUAGCUACAGGCUAUUACUUUUCUCAUUCUACAUGUUUCUCGCUUGUCCUAUUUUUUUUUUAAUACUUUUUGCUCGAAUUCUAAAAUCUAAACUCCUAUAGGGAUUUUUGGAUUCUAUAAUCCAAAACACGUUGAAACCCAAAAAUAAAAUAAAAAACUAUGUAAUUGAAAUCAAAGAUCUCUACUGCUAAUGCACGUUUUCCACAAAAACUACAAAGUAAUUUCAAAGUAAUUUCACAAAAACUAUCGUAUGAAUAGACAGCAAUGAGCAUGAUAUCAUAAAUAACUCAAAACUUUAUAAAAAUAAAAAUAAAAAAAUGAAUAAGAAGAUGUGAAGAAUGAAUGUAAACGUUGGAGGAUACAAAGCUAUUUAUAGACAUAAAAUGUUCCUAGACUCUAAAGUGGGUCAAAGAAAACAUGAAUAACAUUUACAACUUAAUUAACACAUCACAGAUCAUUCAAACCUUUGGUGUAACAUCAUCGUAUGUAGUCUGGCACAGUUUGGAUUAUACAAUCUGAACAUUUCAUAAGCAGUUUGGAUUAUAUAAUUUGAACUAUCCCAGACUGUGUUUCAGCUUGAUGUUUGGAGGGUUUUGUAUGGUGGAUAACACAAAAAAAUGACAUAAUUCAACAACGUAAAAAAUAUAAUAAGAUAAGUGAUGAUGAAAGGGAAGCCGCACCAAGAGGUGUUUUUGAAUUCGAUCCAGUUGUCCUAUCAACUGACAUAUAUUUCUAUUGGCAUGGCAGCAAGAUCAAGUUUCAAAACGACCUUUUUGUGUUCAUAUCCGCAAAAUAAUGAUGAAAGGCAAGGUAUUCCAAGAAGUGUUUUUUAACUUGAUCUCGCUACCUUGUCAACUAACAUAUUUCUAUAGACAGUGCAGCAAGAUCAAAUUUAUAACAACCUCUAGGUGUUCAUAUCCGCUAAGUAAUUUUUCGUAGUUCUUUAUUGUGAUCUACAAAAAAAAAAAAAAAAAAGAUCUAUUUAUAUAAGUUUAUGUGCGUCGCGAACCAGAUAAAUUUUCGAUGCAUUGUGGACCAAAAAAAAAUUCUAAUUCGGACUAAACAAGAUGAAUUUUCCUUCACCCUAGAAAGUAAAAGUUUUGACAAACACAAGACUGAUUAUACAUUAAAUACAACAAUCAGCCAAACUAAACAUAUUAGAUCACAAAUCUUUCAAACUAACUUCUUCAUUGGAUUCCUCCAAGAGAGCCUUGAUUUAUUUGUAUGUUCUAGGCCGAAUCAAUUUUUUUUAAUAUCUUUGAAAGGGCCCGACCAAGAAAACAUCCAACUCAAUUGGUCAUUUAAUACCGUACUGACCAAAUAUUAAAACAUUAUUCUCUUAUCGCAUUGUUCCUGAGUUUAAUCUAGGUAAACUAGAUGCUUUCAUCUUAGCCAAUCGAUGGACUUUGAUGCUCAACAUUGUCCAUCCUUCUUGUGUCUGUGUUGUUGAGUCGACGGUUGAUUUAGUCCAGCUAAUAUUGGACUUUCCCCCAUUGUAGUAAACUACAGUUAGUUUGGUGUCAGAUCAAUGAUUGAAGUGUUCAUGAUUAUUUGGUGUGGUUUAUAGCAAAUGAAAACAAGCACACCAAUUUAUAGAAGUUUAUGUGCGCCGCGGACUACAAUAACUAUUGGUGCAAUGAAGACCAUAGAAAAAGCAUGUACUUGGCUGAUUUGGAUUAUAUAAUUUACAUUGUCCCUCACCCUACAAAGUACAAAUUUCAACACAAUAUUGAACCAAUUCGGAUUAUAGAAUCCAAUCAUUUAUGAGAUAAUUUCGGAUUAUAUAAUUAAAACUAGUUCACAAUGUGAACCGCAGCUUGGUCAGCAAGACUAACUCAUUAAAAAUGUUUUUUAAGUUGGUGAACGACGCUUGACUGGUCAGCAAGACUUGAAAACAAUUUUCGUACCAUGCAUUAAUGGACCAUUACCCUCUAUGAAAUGUACUUCACAAAUUCUCCUUCCGAAUACCCACUAAUACAUCACAAAUUCUUAUUUCAUCUCACAUUCUCUCGUUCUUUUUACUUCUACAAUGUGCUUCCAUAGUUUGUGUUUCAUACAAAAAUGUUACUCUAAUAUUUUAUGGAUUGUAUGAAUGGUCAAAAGGCAAAAAUUGGCACCAUCUGUUUGGAUGUAAGGUUGAUCAUCAAAGUCUAAUCCACUAAGAGAGGAAACAAACCUUACCCCAACCUCAUUCCCCAUUCAUCUUCUUGCACCGCAUGUUUAAAUGAUACUCCCUCCGGUCCUAUUUAUAAGAGAAAGUUAGGUCAACAAAAGUUGAUGUAUCUGAACUGAAUUUUUAACCGGAUACAUCAACUUUUGUUGACCCAAAUUUCUCUUAUAAAUAGGACCGGAGGGAGUAUUUGUACAACCAUUUUGGUACAACUUUUGUACAACUUUCUCUCUCAUACUCACAUUAUGUUUUUAUUCUCUCUCUUACUUUUUUUCUCUCCAUUGUGGUUGACCAAUAAGAAGGGAGAAUAUCAAGGUUGUCACAAAAAUUGUAACAAAAGAGUUGUUCAAAUAUCAUUACUCUUAUCAUUAUGUGUUAAAUAAUUUUGUGUAAUAAGCUUCAAUGACAAUGUAAAUAUACAAUAAAAGAUAUAAAUUAUUCAUAAAAUGAAAAUUUUAUUCAUUUAUCUUUUUAUAUUUUUGUCUCUUUUAGUUUCAGUCAUUUUCAAUUAUGCAUUCUUAAUAUUAUGUCAAUGUUGAUCAAUAAUUAUUGGCAAAAGAAGUUUUCAUGUUAUAGAAUAUGAAAAUCCCUGGUACCAAAAAAAAAAAAAAUCUGAAAAUCCCUCUAUAGGAUUUCAGAUUUUAGAAUCCGACCAAAUGGUAUUUUGAAGAGAGAAAAAUAGUGUGUCUAAGUAACUCAUGUUGAGAAAAGUAAUAGCCUUAAUUAUGUCUCCGAUAAACAUUUUAUUCCCUUCCGUUAAUCAGUUAAUCCCAAAUGUCUAAGGUGAACCAAUAUUAUAGGUGGUCUACCAUAAACCUCAUAACAAUUUUAAGGUCAAAUACCACUUUUGGUCAUUUUAGUUUGACAGAAUUCUCAAGUUAGUCAUUUAAGUUUCGAAAGUUUCAAUUAGGUCCUUUUAGUUUGACAGAAUUCCCAAGUUAAUCCUUUAAGUCAUAAAAUUCAGGGGAGCAAAGUAGAUACUCCAGUUUUCAGAGGCGGAGACAUAGUCAUGUCAAAAGCAUCCCACAUCCUAUUACCACCUACUUGAACUCAUCAAGCUUGGUAUGGACCAUUCACAGUAACAUGUGUAUGUAGUCUCGUGGAGAUCUGGGACAAUAUCAAAUGGCAUGCUAAGGUGAAUCGACACAAACUGAAGCAUGUUAAAGAUUGCAUCCGGAAAAUGAAAGUUGAAGAAGAUGAACCUGCUUUGAAGAGGUUCAAGGGCACAACAUAGACUUAUUCUCCAUGUUCAAGAUGUAAAACACGCAUUGAACGAGAGACAACCCAUUAAUUUAUUUUCUCCGUUAUUUGUCUUGUGUCAUUUUUGCUCGAAUUUUUUGCCGUCAAUUCUUUAUGAAUUAUCAGUCAUAUUAUAUUACACACUAGACAAUUUUUUUGGUACCUUGAGCCUUUUCAAUCCGCCCUUAUCAUCAUUAUAUCCUUUGCUAAAUCCCUUUGAGCUUCCAUGCAUUAUUUCUUUUGUUUUUUUUAUUAAGUAACAAAUCAUGUCACAAGUUUGAACUUUUAAUGCCAUCUAUUUGAUUUCUUUUAUAGUUAGAUAGAAUAUUUUUAAGAACUUGGUAUGAUUUGAAUAUAUGUUAGGGUUAUAAGGGAGAAAUGUAAUGGCAAAGAGGAAGAGCAAGAAAAGAGAUGAAAGAUGAAGGGACAUUAGGCAGACUCAAUCACGGUAGUUAGAAUGAUUGCCUUCUGUUUUGCAGUAAUUUGCAUGAGCUUCACUUUUCAAGUAGAGUAAAAAAAACAGGAAUAGAUAGACACAUUUCUUCUAAGUUUGAGUAGUGAGUGAUAACACUUCUAUGUAAUCCCUAAAAAAAAACACUUCUAUGUAAAAAAAUCACAUGGGAAAUCCAUUCCUAUAGUACACGUAAUUUUGAUCUGGAAGGUUGACUUUUCAACAAAAUAACCUAAAAUAAUUUGUUCAUAACAUAAUAGAGGAAUCUAGAAGUGUUCGCGGUGCGGUUUGAUUCGGUUUUGAGCAAAAAAGUCAUCCAAACCGCGCGAUAAAAAAACAUGUGGUUUGGUUCGGUUGAUUUUUAAAAAAUCAUCCAAACCAAACCAAACUAAACCAAUACGGUUUGGAUUGGUUCGGUUUGUGCGGUUUAUCGCGAGAUAAAAAAAAAAUAUUACAUUAACUCUAAUAUUUCCAAAUUGUUACAAAAUAAACAUAGAACGUUUUUUUAUUUAUUUUUAUAUGAUAAAAUAUUAGGUAAAACUCAUAUCAAAAUAGGUAAAAUUAAGAAGAAUUUAUAAGCAUGAAACAAAUUAUUGGAAAGUAAAGGAAACAAAUUUAAGUAAUAUUCAUUAUUCUUGCAGCUAUGUAAUUGGGCUAGAAACAUUUUAUUUUGAUGUUUAUAUCGAACAUGAUGGUGCAACAAUGGAAAAAUCAAAUCAAAAAAGAUUAUUCUUGAGCUAUGUAAUUGAGCUAGUACAUAUUUAAGUAAUAUUCAUUAUUCUUGCGGUUUGGUUUGGUUUGAUUCGGUUGCUGAGAUGCAAACCGCAAAUCAAACCAAACUGUAUGUUUUAGUGCAAAAGUCAUCUGAAUUCAUCCGAAAUCAAGUACGAUUUUUUACGAUUUUGAAUUGGUUUAAUUUGCCGUUUUUCUAUUGGAUUGGUUCGGUUUGAACGAUCUGCAUGAAUUCUUCUAGUUGAUUGUUGGACUAUUUUUAAUUGGCAAAGGCUUAGUUGUCCAUUUAUAAAUAUAAAUACUAUUAUUACAUUAUCCAAUCCAAUAGCACCAAAACCAAUAUAAUAAUGGUAAUUUGCAAUUUUGCACGUUUCAUUCAUUUAUUGGUGCCUUAAUUUUGGGUUACAGACCGACAUUGAUCAGUUGCUAAAAAACCACUGCAUCCUUAUUUUUUACGAGGUAGAUGCAUCGGACAAAUAAACCGACAAACAAAGCUAUUCAGAAAGUGCUCAGAAAUUUUUUGUGCCCCAACAGAAAAUAUUAAGAAAGUCUUGCUACACAGUGUCUUGUAUACAAGUGAAAUAUGUGUGGUAUUAUGCACAAGUUUAUUUUUACAAGUUGAUAUAAGAAUCUAAGUAUAUUUUUAUGGAAAAUUAAUGCUAACAAAUACUUUCAAAGCAUUGUUUAAGCAAUCAAUAUUAGUAACUUUUGCAUAGAAAUAUGUGUGAUUAUUAUUUUUUCAUAUGUUUUAUAUGUUUUCAAGAAAAUAUUUUUAUUUAUGGUUUUUUUAAAUAGUGUCCUUAGGUACUUGUUAGCAAAAUCUUAUUUAUAUAAGUUGAUCUAAGAAUCUCAUUAUUGUAUCGAGUGAGAUACGGCCAUACCGAAGCUUAUGGAUUCCAUAGUGGAAAAAUAACUUUUCAUCAGUGCAAUACUAUUUUAGUUGUAGAAUUUCUUUUCUUGUGUGUCCUAUUUCAGAUUUUAAAAUCCAAACAAUCGAAGGUUUAUGAAGGUUUUUCGAACAUUUUCGCACUGUUUGAAUUAUAUGAUCUGAAAUGUCAUAGAACAUGCGAGAAGCAAGUUGAAUGAAAUAAAAAACUCCUGCUCAAUAGAAUUAUUUUACUUGGUUAUUGUUUGAAUUUUAUUCUCCUUCAAAGACGGCAAUGUGCAAUUGUGCAUUUCAUCCGGAGAGUGGCAACAUCUCAUGCAUGUUCAUCUCAUAUAACUGAGAAGUCACAUGGCUUGGAAAAUCUUAAACCGAGAAAAACAAAAGGAGUAAAAGUAAUAAUAGUGAACCAAAGUGAAGAUGAACUUGUAGUCUAUCAAAAGAAGAUGAACUUGUUCGUCUUGGCAUAGUAACUCAUUUUUAUUCCUUGUUACCUAUGAAACACGGACAAUAGAUACAACACGGACACCAAUACGUUAAUACCGUUAAUAAUAUAAAAAAAUAGGUACAUUGAAUAAUUAAUGUAUUUGACCUAUAAAUGUGACCAGAUAUAUUAAUUAUUCAAUGUAUCUAAAAAGUUGGUUUUUGUUUAUAAAUAUGAUCAUAUGGAGUACUACUUUAGUGUAAUUUUAUGUAUUGGUACUGCGAGACAUCUAAUCUAAAGAGUGUCAAUGUUUUCACACAUAUUACUCACCAAAGUGCACACAUUAUAUGCAUUUAGGUAAACUGAGUUCAUCCAAAAUUGUAACCGCACAAACAGAGGGCCGCUAGGAAAUAUGAGGUAAAUUUGGAUUAUUCUUUAUCAAAAGCUUAUGACCAAAGAAAAACUAUACAAAAACUAAUGUUCAAAAAGUACAUAAAGUAAUAAUGCAAAGUCAAUGUGUAUAUAUAUUUCACCAUUAAAUAAAAGGGGAAAAAAAUCUCCAUACACAGCUUGCAAUAGCUACCAUCAUGGCCUAAAGCAAAUAUCAUAUGACCACUAAAAAACAAUAGAAAAUAAACAAAUAAAAAGAGAAAAACAAAAGAGAAAAUGGUAUAAAGAAAUCAUGUAGUAGUUAGUUUUUUCUCAAGAUGGGCAACUCAGCAGGGCUGCUAGGAGGAAAUUACAAAAGAACAUGACACUUAACUUCUCUAAUCAUUCAAAAUUUGUCAAGAUGCUGAUUAUAUAUUUUAAUUAGUAGUUAGAGAUUGUUAUAGUAACGUGUUCUAGCCAUCAAGAAUAAAACAAUGUCAUGGAAAAGAAGUGGCCUACUAGAAGAAUUAAUUUAAAGCAUUUACACCAAAAUAAAAACAAAUUGAAUAUUGGAAUUGGUCCUUCAUGAUAGCUUCCCCUUAACAACUAACUCUAACUAUAAAUACUGAAUCUUGCAUGCAACAUUUCAUAGUAAACACUAAGACCAAAACCUCUUCUUUCUAUCCAUGACUGCUAGGGCUAGUUGCCCCAAAAUGGGGCAUUUUUGGCCACAAAUGGCAAUGGCAUUGGCCAUUGUUUUGAUUUCUACUACUAUGGUUUCUGCUUCUGAUAGCUACAUUUACUCUUCGCCUCCACCACCUUAUGAGUACAAGUCCCCACCACCGCCGUCUCCCUCACCACCUCCUCCUUAUGUGUAUAAGUCACCACCUCCCCCAUCCUCGUCACCCCCACCACCAUAUGAGCACAAGGCUCCAUCUUAUGAGUACAAGUCACCACCACCACCAACUUCUUCACCACCACCUCCUUAUGUAUACAAGUCACCACCACCACCAUCUCCUUCACCGUCACCUCCUUAUGUGUACAAGUCACCACCACCUCCAUCCCCAUCACCCCCACCUCCUUACGUGUACAAGUCACCACCACCACCCUCGCCUUCCCCGCCCCCACCAUACUAUUACAAGUCUCCUCCACCACCCUCGCCUUCCCCACCGCCACCAUACUAUUACAAGAGUCCUCCACCACCCUCUCCUUCACCUCCACCUCCUUACUACUAUAAAUCGCCUCCACCACCCUCACCUUCCCCUCCCCCACCAUACUAUUACAAGUCUCCUCCACCACCAUCUCCCUCACCACCUCCUCCAUAUUACUACAAGUCUCCCACACCACCUUCACCCUCCUCUCCACCCCCAUAUAUACACAAGGAUCCACCAUACUAUUACAAGUCCCCACCACCCCCUUCACCAUCUCCUCCACCACCAUACUACUAUAAAUCUCCCCCACCACCCUCACCCUCUCCACCCCCACCUUACUAUUACAAGUCUCCUCCACCACCUUCACCAUCUCCUCCACCACCAUACUAUUACAAAUCUCCUCCUCCUCCAUCUCCUAUUCCCCAUACACCUUACUAUUACAAAUCUCCCCCACCACCUUCACCAUCUCCUCCACCACCAUACUAUUACAAAUCUCCUCCUCCUCCAUCUCCUAUUCCCCGUACACCUUACUAUUACAAAUCUCCCCCACCACCUUCACCAUCUCCUCCACCACCAUACUACUACAAAUCCCCUCCUCAUCCAUCUCCCAUUCCCCAUACACCUUACUAUUACACAUCUCCCCCACCACCUUCACCGUCUCCUCCACCACCAUAUUACUACAAAUCUCCUCCCCCUCCGUCUCCUAUUCCCCACACACCUUACUACUACAAGUCCCCACCACCACCAAAGGUCCUUCCACCACCAUACUAUUACAAUUCUCCUCCUCCACCUGUUGUGUAUCCUCACCCAUAUCCCUACCACCACUCACUUAUUGUGAGGGUAGUCGGUAAAGUCUACAGCUUCAGAUGUUAUGAUUGGAAUUAUCCUGCAAAGUCUCAUAACAAG
rnacentral:lncRNA from 1 species